AUGUCUUCUCUGCCUUUGGGCUAAGAUACAAGUGUAGUAUCUGUUCUCACCAGUUGGGGGAGCAGUCACCUCCUGCUGGUGAGAGAGAGAUGCACUUGAUCCUCUGGCCUAGAGGCUGGCAGCUAUGGAGCUCCUUUGUGCCCCAGGAUUUACCCACCUGGGGUGCCGUAAGUCACAGAUC
rnacentral:snRNA from 1 species